rnacentral:rRNA from 1 species
GACGUCGCGAGAAUUCCACUGAACCUUAUCAUUUAGAGGAAGGAGAAGUCGUAACAAGGUCUCCGUAGGUGAACCUGCGGAAGGAUCAUUG